GAUGAACGCUGGCGGUAUGCUUAACACAUGCAAGUCGAACGGACUCUUCGGAGUUAGUGGCGGACGGGUGAGUAACGCGUGAGAAUCUGGCUUUGGGUUCGGGACAACCACUGGAAACGGUGGCUAAUACCGGAUGUGCCGAGAGGUAAAAGAGAAAUUGCCUGAAGAUGAGCUCGCGUCUGAUUAGCUAGUUGGUGAGGUAAAGGCCCACCAAGGCAGCGAUCAGUAGCUGGUCUGAGAGGAUGACCAGCCACACUGGGACUGAGACACGGCCCAGACUCCUGCGGGAGGCAGCAGUGGGGAAUUGUCCGCAAGGGGCGAAAGCCUGACGGAGCAAUACCGCGUGAGGGAAGAAGGCUCUUGGGUUGUAAACCUCUUUUCUUAGGGAAGAACAAAAUGACGGUACCUAAGGAAGCAGCAUCGGCUAACUCCGUG
rnacentral:rRNA from 1 species